AAUCCAUUGAAAUAAAUUUAAAAGAAGUUACAAAAGAAAUUAAAAUAAUUCUAAAAAAAUAAUAAAAAAAAACUUUAAUAUAAUCCCAAUUGAAAUCUUAAUUAAAUUUUAACCAAAUCCUAGCUCAAAUCCUAAUUAAAAUCUUAAUUGAAUCUUAACCAAAUCCUAGGUCAAAUUCUAAUGAAAUCUUGAUAAAAAUCCUAAAUCCUAAACAAAUCUUAGAUAAGUUCUAAAUCAAAUCCUAACCAAAUCUUAGACCAAAUCCUAAACCAAAUCUUAAUCAAAUCCUACAUCUUAAACAAACUCUUAACAAAUCCUAUAGCAAAAUAGAACCUCAAUAAUUAAUGAUUGAAUCG
rnacentral:lncRNA from 1 species